AGCGAACGCUGGCGGCAUGCUUAACACAUGCCAGUCGCACGGAUCUUUCGGGAUCAGUGGCGGACGGGUGAGUAACGCGUAGGGAUCUAUCCAUGGGUGGGGGACAACUCCGGGAAACUGGAGCUAAUACCGCAUGAUACCUGAGGGUCAAAGGCGCAAGUCGCCUGUGGAGGAACCUGCGUUCGAUUAGCUAGUUGGUGGGGUAAAGGCCUACCAAGGCGAUGAUCGAUAGCUGGUUUGAGAGGAUGAUCAGCCACACUGGGACUGAGACACGGCCCAGACUCCUACGGGAGGCAGCAGUGGGGAAUAUUGGACAAUGGGCGAAAGCCUGAUCCAGCAAUGCCGCGUGUGUGAAGAAGGUCUUCGGAUUGUAAAGCACUUUCGACGGGGACGAUGAUGACGGUACCCGUAGAAGAAGCCCCGGCUAACUUCGUG
rnacentral:rRNA from 1 species